GUGUUUUUGCCGAACAUCUCGCCCAUGCUAGCAGUGGUGGUGGAAGGCAAGCAGUCUCUGUGCAUGAUCUCCUCUGCGGAGUAGCAGUGGGGCAGAUUGUUCCUGGGGUGCCAUUUACUGGAGGGAUCAAUGGCAUAUUCCCUGAAGCUGCCCCUUUGAAGCGGAUCCGUGAAGGAGGAAAAUUGGGAGACGUCGGCUGACGUGGAGAGCUCGCCCCAGCCCGGCAGGGAGGUGCGGUCACGUGACGCCACGCCAAAUUGACAAGCGGCGGCUCCGGGCCCUCGCCCCUUCGGAGCCGGCUCGGGGGAUGCAACAGAUCGGCACGGCGCCGGGCGCCCCCCCCCCCCGGGGUAAAGCAGCCCCCCUCCGGGGCAUUGCCCCCCGCUCCGGGGGAUGCCCCCCCGAAGGGUACGGCACCCGCCCCGGCCGCCCGGUUCCCCGGCGGAGCGGCUUAGCCAUCCCCGCAGGGCUAGGAACAAACUCGCCGUACCGUGAUGCUUGCCUUUUCGCCUCGUACCGUCGCUGAAGGCUGAGACCCAGGGAGACCUAUUUUAAAAACGUGGUUAAACUUUUACUAUUGUUGCAUGAAAGGGAUGAUAUAGAAAGCGGAUUGUACAGGGCAGAGACUAAAAAGCACUUCUCUGCCAAUAAAAAUGCACACCCCACCGAAUGAGCAGAGCCAAAGAAAACAGAGAAAUACGCCAAAGAAUACAGCACCUUUUCAGGCAUGGACAUCCCUCGGCUGUUGGAAAAAAAUAUUUUUUGCUAGUCUGAUGCUCGAUUUCAGAAAAGAAAUAUUUGGGUUCCGGCUGGAUUUAAUCAAAAUAGAAAAACAGAACGGCAAAAGGCUAUUGUGAAGUCGGUGCUCUUAUGAAAUUAGACGUGCUUCGAGAUCUGUCCCCCCCCUGGGCUUGGGAGGCUAAUGGAAGGGAAACUAAAAUGCUAGGGAAAUAAUAUUUGGAUUUCCCCCCCCCCCCUUCUUCUGCAGUGCUGUGGAAGUAUUUAUAUAUCCGGAGAAAGUUCUAUAGUAAAUUCUGGAGAUCUUCGGUAUUUAAAUGUCAACAUCGAUUUGUUUAUUUAUUGCUUAGCUUAUCGUAACUGACUCAAUAACAAAUCUAAUCAUGUUGUGCACAGAAAAAAUAUUCUCAUUAUGUAUUUUCCCUACAUUAUAGUUAACUAUUACAUUUGAAUUCAAGCUGUAAAUUCAAUAUUAUCAAGUAAUUACUUUGUAGUGGAGUAAACUAAUUUAUUAGCA